UACAGGGGGGGCAAGCGUUGUUCGGAAUUACUGGGCGUAAAGGGCUCGUAGGUGGCCAACUAAGUCAGACGUGAAAUCCCUCAGCUUAACUGGGGAACUGCGUCUGAUACUGGAUGGCUUGAGUUUGGGAGAGGGUUGCGGAAUUCCAGGUGUAGCGGUGAAAUGCGUAGAUAUCUGGAGGAACACCGGUGGCGAAGGCGGCAUCCUGGACCAACACUGACACUGAGGAGCGAAAGCCAGGGGAGCAAACGGG
rnacentral:rRNA from 1 species